rnacentral:SRP_RNA from 1 species
GCCAGGCGUGGUGGCGCGUGCCUGUAGUCCCAGCUACUUGGGAGGCUGAGGUGGGAGGAUCCCUUGAGCCCAGGAGUUCUGGGCUGUAGUGUGCUAUGCUGAUCGGGUGUCCACACUAAGUUCAGCAUCAAUAUGGUGACCUCCCGGGAACGGGGGACCACCAGGUUGCCUAAGGAGGGGUGAACUGGCCCAGGUUGGAAACGGGGCAGGUCAAAAACUCCCGUGCUGAUCAGGAGUAGGAUUGCGCCUGUGAAUAGCCACUGCACUCCAGCCUGGGCAACAUAGUGAGACUCCGUCUCU